GAAAAUCGGUUAAAAAUAGUUAAAUAUUUAACUUAGAUAAAUUUAUAAGUCCAUACUGAUAAAAGGUGAAAUUAAUUUUUUAGUAUGUGGGGGAUAAAAAAUGAAGUUUAAAUUGAAGCUAUUAAGAUAGAGGAAUGAACCAGGAUUAGAUACCCUGUUACACUUUAUUUAAAUGAUAAUUACCUGGGUACUAAGCAGUUAUUAUCUUGAAACUCAAAGGAUUUGGCGGUAACCUAGUCUAUUUAGAGGAACCUGUCCUGUAAUCGAUAGUCCACGCAAUAUCUUGCUUUACCUUGUAGAAAACAGUUUGUAUACCGUCAUUAUUAGAUAACUUUAAAAAAUCAUAGAGUUAUUGUAAUAGUUUAGCUAGUAAAUUAGAUCAAGGUGCAGCUUAUGGUAGAGUAGAGAUGGGUUACAAUAUAAUAGGCAUACACGGAGUAAUAAAUGAAUAUUUAUUAUGAAGGUGGAUUUAAGAGUAAGAAGAUUUUAAUAAGAUCUUUUGACUUUAGCUCUAGGUUAUGUACACAUCGCCCGUCGCUCU
rnacentral:rRNA from 1 species